UAUGGCCAUAUCACGUUGAAACUCCGGUUUCCGUACGAUUACCAAAAUCAAUCAACGUCGAGCCUGGUCAAUACUUAGAAGGGUGACCGAUUGGGAAUCCCAGGUGCUGUAA